GUGCCAGCCGCCGCGGUAAUACGAACCGUCCAAACGUUAUUCGGAUUCAUUGGGCUUAAAGGGUACGUAGGCGGCGCCAUCAGUCGGGUGUGAAAGCCCUCGGCUCAACCGAGGAACUGCGCCCGAUACUGUGGUGCUUGAGGGAGACAGAGGUAAGCGGAACUGAUGGUGGAGCGGUGAAAUGCGUUGAUAUCAUCAGGAACACCGGUGGCGAAAGCGGCUUACUGGGUCUCUUCUGACGCUGAGGUACGAAAGCUAGGGGAGCGAACGGGAUUAGAAACCCGUGUAGUCC
rnacentral:rRNA from 1 species